CAGCCGCCGCGGGAAUACGUAGGGUGCGAGCGUUAAUCGGAAUUACUGGGCGUAAAGCGUGCGCAGGCGGUUAUAUAAGACAGAUGUGAAAUCCCCGGGCUCAACCUGGGACCUGCAUUUGUGACUGUAUAGCUAGAGUACGGUAGAGGGGGAUGGAAUUCCGCGUGUAGCAGUGAAAUGCGUAGAUAUGUGGAGGAAUACCGAUGGCGAAGGCAGCCCCCUGGGAUAACACUGACGCUCAUGCACGAAAGCGUGGGGAGCAAACAGGAUUAGAUACCCCGGUAGUCCCUGUCUCUUAUAC
rnacentral:rRNA from 1 species